rnacentral:lncRNA from 10 species
UCAAAUGCUGCCCAGUCCCCGCUCCUCAGUCGCUUCCCUCUACUACGCGCCCGCAUCUCCCCCCGACCCCUCAGGGUCAGGCCUCUCGGUGGCUUUUCCUUUUUCUCUUCCAGAAACUAAGGGGUGAGACCGACGUUUGUGUGCCGGACGCGUGCAGGUGGCGGCGACGCUCCCGGGAGACGCGGGGGGAGAACCAGUCUGUGCGCGCGGCUGUGAGAAGCCCCGACCAAGCUUUCCACGCGCUUGUUUCGGGCAGCAGAGGACGCGAGGGCCGACUGCGUCCCCAGUGCGCAGGCUCGGCCGGGGGCGCGUAAUCAGGCAGCCCAGCGGUCCCUUCAAACCGAGGCAGGGAAGCUCUACGUCUUGGGGGCCGCAUGGUGCCGAGAGCGCAGACCAGACCCGCCCCGCCUCUCCGUGCCACGCACGCGCUCGGCUCCGCGCUUAAUGCAACGCGAAUGAAAUUUGGUGCCAUCACUCGGAUCAGGGGACCUCCCUUGGGAGAUCAAUCCCCUGUCCUCCUGCUCUUUGCUCCAUGAGAAAGAUCCACCUACGAUCUCUGCUCCUCAGACCAACCAGCCCAAGGAACAUCUCACCAAUUUUAAAUCGGAUCUUCUCAGCUUAGCGGCUGAAGACUGAUGCUGCCAGAUGACUUUGGAAGCCCCCUGGACCAUCACAGAUGCCCAGCUUUGGAUAACUCUUACAGUGGAGGAAGACAGGAAUAUCAGGUCUCUGAGCCCAAGCUAAGCCAUCAUAUCCCCUGUGACCUGCAUGUAUGCAUCCAGAUGGCCUGAAGUAACUGAAGAAUCACAAAAGAAGUGAAAAUGGCGCGUGCCUGCCUUAACUGAUGACAUUACCUUGUGAAAUUCCUUCUCCUGGCUCAUCCUGGCUCAAAAGCUCCCCCACUGAGCACCUUGUGACCCCCACUCCUGCCUAACAGAGAACAAUCCCCUUUGACUGUAAUUUCCCACUACCUACCCAAAUCCUAUAAAACGGCCCCACCCCUAUCUCCAUUCACUGACUCUUUUUGGACUCAGCCCACCUGCACCCAGGUGAAAUAAACAGCCUUGUUGCUCACACAGAACCUGUUUGGUGGUCUCUUCACACGGCGAGUGAAAUUUAGUAUUGUACCAAUGGUAAAUUGACAAAUGUACCACGUUUAUAUAAGAUUAACAGCAGAGGAGGCCGGGGGCGGUGGCUCAUGCCUGUAAUCCCAGCACUUUGGGAGGCCGAGAUGGGCGGAUCACGAGGUCAGGAGAUCAAGACCAUCCUGGCUAACACAGUGAAACCCUGUCUCUACUAAAAAUACGAAAAAAAAUUAGCUGGGCGUGGUGGUGGGCAC